rnacentral:rRNA from 1 species
UGGGGGAUAUUGCGCAAUGGGGGCAACCCUGACGCAGCAACGCCGCGUGAAGGAUGAAGGUUUUCGGAUUGUAAACUUCUUUUAUUAAGGACGAAACUUGACGGUACUUAAUGAAUAAGCUCCGGCUAACUACGUGCCAGCAGCCGCGGUAAUACGUAGGGAGCAAGCGUUGUCCGGAUUUACUGGGUGUAAAGGGUGCGUAGGCGGCUUUGCAAGUCAGAUGUGAAAUCUAUGGGCUCAACCCAUAAACUGCAUUUGAAACUGUAGAGCUUGAGUGAAGUAGAGGCAGGCGGAAUUCCCCGUGUAGCGGUGAAAUGCGUAGAGAUGGGGAGGAACACCAGUGGCGAAGGCGGCCUGCUGGGCUUUAACUGACGCUGAGGCACGAAAGCGUGGGUAGCAAACAGGAUUAGAUACCCUGGUAGUCCACGCUGUAAACGAUGAUUACUAGGUGUGGGGGGUCUGACCCCUUCCGUGCCGGAGUUAACACAAUAAGUAAUCCACCUGGGGAGUACGGCCGCAAGGUUGAGACUCAAAGGAAUUGACGGGGGCCCGCACAAGCAGUGGAGUAUGUGGUUUAAUUCGAAGCAACGCGAAGAACCUUACCAGGUCUUGACAUCCAACUAACGAAGUAGAGAUACAUUAGGUGCCCUUCGGGGAAAGUUGAGACAGGUGGUGCAUGGUUGUCGUCAGCUCGUGUCGUGAGAUGUUGGGUUAAGUCCCGCAACGAGCGCAACCCUUGCUAUUAGUUGCUACGCAAGAGCACUCUAAUAGGACUGCCGUUGACAAAACGGAGGAAGGUGGGGACGACGUCAAAUCAUCAUGCCCCUUAUGACCUGGGCUACACACGUACUACAAUGGAUGUUAACAGAGGGAAGCAAGACAGCGAUGUGGAGCAAACCCCUAAAAACAUUCUCAGUUCAGAUUGCAGGCUGCAACCCGCCUGCAUGAAGAUGGAAUUGCUAGUAAUCGCGGAUCAGCAUGCCGCGGUGAAUACGUUCCCGGGCCUUGUACACAC